rnacentral:rRNA from 1 species
CCCUUAGAUGUUCUGGGCCGCACGCGUGCUACACUGAGUGGAUCAGCGGGUCAGGUUGCGCGAAAGUGUUUCCUAAUCUUUAAAUCCGCUCGUGAUGGGGAUUGACGGUUGCAAUUUUCCGUCAUGAACGAGGAAUACCUUGUAAGCGCGGGUCAUCAUCCCGCGCUGAAUACGUCCCUGCCCUUUGUACACACCGCCCGUCGCUCCUACCGAUUGAGUGGUCCGGUGAGGCUUUGGGAUCUGAGCGGAAAGAGCGUUUCGCUGUUUCUGCCCGAAAACUCAGUCGAACCUUAUCAUUUAGAGGAAGGAGAAGUCGUAACA